rnacentral:lncRNA from 10 species
GUUUUUCCUUCCAGGAGUGGGUUACCAUUGGAGCAUGUAUCAUAUGACUUGUGGAAAGGAGAAAGAAUGGAAACAUUUUGUGUGACAGACUAUUCACUGAAUGUUCUACAUGGGUUAUUUCAUUUAAUCCUCAUAGCAAACCUUCACAGAAUUGAGUCAACAGCUGUCAUGUGUCCCAGUUUUGGCCAAUCAAGGGAAAUAUGCUACAGGUAUGCUGGGAAAGUUUUCUCUUUCCUGAGAAGAAGACACAGACUAUCACUGGUUCUACAUGUGACACUUGGAACUAGUUCAACCCUUUCAUCACCAGCUUAAAGAUGAAGCCAGCACUGAGAACAGAAACAGGAAGCAGAAAGACCCAGAGUCCAUGAGGACAGUAUCCAGCCACUGCCUGAAUGUUGCCUAGAGACUGCCCUGCCUCUGAACUUGGAGUUAUGUGAUGCCACACACAUGACAUAAAACUGACCCUGGAGCUUCUGCCCCACAUCAUCGAAAGCAACUGCAAGAAGCAGAAAUGAGACAGGAGGGGAAAGAGAUCUGACAGUGUUGAGGUCCCUCGGUUCUGUGACCCUGCUCUGCGCCUCCCUCUGGACUUGAGAAAGCUUGGGUCUUUCCAACUCCAUGUCCCACAACAAAUUCCCUGUGAGCCCUCAGCAGGGAUGUAUCAGU